rnacentral:rRNA from 1 species
AUGUCGGGAGAACGUUCUUUUGCUGAUAUUAUUACCAGUAUUCGAUACUGGGUUAUUCAUAGCAUUACUAUACCUUCCCUAUUCAUUGCGGGUUGGUUAUUUGUCAGUACGGGUUUAGCUUAUGACGUGUUUGGAAGUCCUAGGCCAAACGAGUAUUUCACGGAAAGCCGACAAGGAACCUUCUCCAUCUGA